rnacentral:tRNA from 1 species
GGUGGCUCAGCGGUAGAGCGCUUGCCUAGCAUGCAUGAGGCUCUGGGUUUGAUUCCUCAGCACCA